rnacentral:rRNA from 1 species
AUUGAACGCUGGCGGCAGGCCUAACACAUGCAAGUCGAGCGAGAGGCGGGCGGGUGAGUAAUGUAUCGGGACACCCCGAGAGAGGGGGGUAAAUCCUGGAAACAGUGGAUCAUACCGCAUAAUGUCGGAUAAUCCAUAUGGGAUUAUCUAGUAGGUAAGGUAAUGGCUUACAGAGGCGACGAUCCCUAGCUGGUCUGAGAGGAUGACCAGCAACACUGGGACUGAGACACGGCCCAGACUCCUACGGAGGCAGCAGGGGGGAAUAUUGCACAAUGGGCGCAAGCCUGAUGCAGCCAUGCCGCGUGUAUGAAGAAGGCCCUAGGGUUGUAAAGUACUUUCAGUCGGGAGGCGUUACCGGCAGAAGAAGCACCGGCUAACGCCGUGCCAGCAGCCGCGGUAAUAC